GACGAACGCUGGCGGCGUGCUUAACACAUGCAAGUCGAACGGUAAGGCCCUUCGGGGUACACGAGUGGCGAACGGGUGAGUAACACGUGGGUGAUCUGCCCUGCACUUCGGGAUAAGCCUGGGAAACUGGGUCUAAUACCGGAUAGGACCACUGCCUGCAUGGGUGGUGGUGGAAAGCUUUUGCGGUGUGGGAUGGGCCCGCGGCCUAUCAGCUUGUUGGUGGGGUGAUGGCCUACCAAGGCGACGACGGGUAGCCGGCCUGAGAGGGUAACCGGCCACACUGGGACUGAGAUACGGCCCAGACUCCUACGGGAGGCAGCAGUGGGGAAUAUUGCACGAUGGGCGCAAGCCUGAUGCAGCGACGCCGCGUGAGGGAUGACGGCCUUCGGGUUGUAAACCUCUUUCAGCUAUGACGAAGCGCAAGUGACGGUAGUAGCAGAAGAAGGACCGGCCAACUACGUGCCAGCCGCCGCUGUAA
rnacentral:rRNA from 1 species